rnacentral:rRNA from 1 species
UGCAGUCGACGGAAGGCCCUUCGGGGUACUCGAGUGGCGAACGGGUGAGUAACACGUGGGUGAUCUGCCCUGCACUUUGGGAUAAGCCUGGGAAACUGGGUCUAAUACCGAAUAUGACCACAUGCUUCAUGGUGUGUGGUGGAAAGCUUUUGCGGUGUGGGAUGGGCCCGCGGCCUAUCAGCUUGUUGGUGGGGUAAUGGCCUACCAAGGCGACGACGGGUAGCCGGCCUGAGAGGGUGACCGGCCACACUGGGACUGAGAUACGGCCCAGACUCCUACGGGAGGCAGCAGUGGGGAAUAUUGCACAAUGGGCGCAAGCCUGAUGCAGCGACGCCGCGUGAGGGAUGACGGCCUUCGGGUUGUAAACCUCUUUCAAUAGGGACGAAGCGCAAGUGACGGUACCUAUAGAAGAAGGACCGGCCAACUACGUGCCAGCAGCCGCGGUAAUACGUAGGGUCCGAGCGUUGUCCGGAAUUACUGGGCGUAAAGAGCUCGUAGGUGGUUUGUCGCGUUGUUCGUGAAAACUCACAGCUUAACUGUGGGCGUGCGGGCGAUACGGGCAGACUAGAGUACUGCAGGGGAGACUGGAAUUCCUGGUGUAGCGGUGGAAUGCGCAGAUAUCAGGAGGAACACCGGUGGCGAAGGCGGGUCUCUGGGCAGUAACUGACGCUGAGGAGCGAAAGCGUGGGGAGCGAACAGGAUUAGAUACCCUGGUAGUCCACGCCGUAAACGGUGGGUACUAGGUGUGGGUUCCUUCCUUGGGAUCCGUGCCGUAGCUAACGCAUUAAGUACCCCGCCUGGGGAGUACGGCCGCAAGGCUAAAACUCAAAGAAAUUGACGGGGGCCCGCACAAGCGGCGGAGCAUGUGGAUUAAUUCGAUGCAACGCGAAGAACCUUACCUGGGUUUGACAUGCACAGGACGCUGGUAGAGAUAUCAGUUCCCUUGUGGCCUGUGUGCAGGUGGUGCAUGGCUGUCGUCAGCUCGUGUCGUGAGAUGUUGGGUUAAGUCCCGCAACGAGCGCAACCCCUAUCUUAUGUUGCCAGCGCGUUAUGGCGGGGACUCGUAAGAGACUGCCGGGGUCAACUCGGAGGAAGGUGGGGAUGACGUC